rnacentral:rRNA from 1 species
GGCGGCGUGCCUAACACAUGCAAAGUCGAACGGACGAGAGGAGCUUGCUCCUCAAGUAGUGGCGGACGGGUGAGUACACGUGAGCAACCUGCCCUUCGAGGGGGACAACAGCUGGAAACGGCUGCUAAUACCGCAUGAUACAGUCUGGAGGCAUCUCCGGGCUGUCAAAAGAUUUUUAUCGCCGAAGGAUGGGCUCGCGUCUGAUUAGAUAGUUGGUGGGGUAACGGCUCACCAAGUCGACGAUCAGUAGCCGGACUGAGAGGUUGAACGGCCACAUUGGGACUGAGAUACGGCCCAGACUCCUACGGGGAGGCAGCAGUGGGGAAUAUUGGGGACAAUGGGGGCAACCCUGACCCAGCAACGCCGCGUGGAGGAAGAAGGCUUUCGGGUUGUAAACUCCUUUGACGAGGGACGAUAGUGACGGUACCUCGAAAACAAGCCACGGCUAACUACGUGCCAGCCGCCGC